UGAGGUGGAGACCACCACCCCCCAAAAAAAAACAACACACAAAAACCACCCUCGUCGCCCCUCCGCUCCAGCAGAGGGCGAGAGCGGGAGCCCCUCCAUGGCGGCGGCGCUUCCGGACCGGGCCGCGGCCAUGGCGGCGGGCGGCAGGCGGGCUGUGUACCCGCUGUUCCAGCUGGGCGGCCCCCAGCUGCGGAUCUUCCGCCCCAACUUCUUCAUGCUGGCGGUGCGGCCCGGCGUGCCACAGCCCGAGGACACGGUGCAGUUCCGCGUCUCCAUGGAAAUGACAAAAGUGGAUAUCAAGAAUUACCUUGAAAAAAUAUAUAAUGUGCCAGUAGCUGCUGUGAGGACCAGAAUACAGUAUGGUGCGAACAACAAGAAGAACCACAAGAAUCAGAGAGUGAAGAAGCCAGAUUACAAGGUUGCCUAUGUACAGCUGGGCAAAGGACAAACCUUUCAGUUUCCCAACCUGUUUCCAGAGAAAGAACAAGAUGAAGAAGCUCGCUCUUUUGAUGACUUCAGGAAGAAAUAUCUAGAGAAAGAGCAGCAGAUCCAGAAGGGUGACCCCAGACGAGGUGGAGUUCCCGAUUGGUUCGGACUUUGAUGCAACAAGCCAGCUGCCUUUCUGUAGCCUUAGAGGAAUUUUGGUCAGCAGAACUUGAACUCUUCUCUUCUUGUAAUGACCAAGGGUUUAUUCUUGAGCAGCCCUUGCUAGAGUGUCUAUUUUCCUGGCUAUUUAUGCACGACUACAACAAAAUGGCCCUAAAGAAAUAAAAAGGUAACUCCAUCUUCACCAUGGUGAUGAUAAAAUGAAAAGAAUUCAUCUAGUGCUGCCAUAUAUCUUCCUAGCUGGCUGGUCAGCCUUGAGCAAGCAAACAGUCAGGAGAGGUUGGAGUCACCAGCUCCUGUACUGGCAUUGAGAACCCAAGCUGAGAGGAGUUUAUUUGCAGUACCAAAUAUGCGCUAGGCUGAGUUUCUGACUGGAGUGACACAAAAGGAAAGAAAUAGAGAGAUGAGUGUACCCGUAUCUAUAUGAAGUUGCUGCAACCAAAUUCUGGCAGAUAUUCAAGCUACUUCAGAGAGAACUUUUGUUACCAGCUACCUCUAAGCUAGUAUACCUGUGAAAUAAAGUGCCCAGGAGCGGGACCAGGCGCGGUGGAAACCAGAAGAGGGACUUCUGUUCAGGUUGGAUGGGAAAUGGCUCUCGUGGAUGGAUUCCCUCAGAACCAGUGAGCUCCUAGAGAGUUCAUAUACUUCAAAUAAGUUUAAAGCUGUCCUGAAGAGCUGGGGAGAAAGAACCCAUUCCUGGUGUCAGUCUGUCAUGGGUGCCACCUGCGUGGGAGACCGAGGCUUGUCACUGUACCAGCACGUGCUUUGGGGAGCAGUGGAAGGGAUGCUAAACAUCAGUUUGCUCUCUUGGGGUUCAGGAAAAGACUUUCCCCAGGGGUCCUGCACCUUCCUAGCUACCAUCAGGUAAAAGCUACUGCAUUAAGCAGAACUCCAGCUUUGAUCUAGCUUGAAUGUAUAUCCCUUUUUCCUGUCCUAUCCAUGUUCCUCUCAAAGCAUACUUCCCUUCCCCUCUUUUAUAUUAAAUUACAAAUGGCAACCUCUUUGUAUAUGGUACUGUGAUAAAUAACAGCAAAACAUAAUGUAGCACAAAAUGAUAAACACAAUGUUAAAAGGAACUUACACUAUAAAGUAUUCAAAUGUUGGUGGA